GCUAGUAACCAAGUAGGGAAUCACAUUUCGGCUGUGAUUGCGAAGCUAGAGCUUCUGCUAGUG
rnacentral:tRNA from 1 species